rnacentral:rRNA from 1 species
AUAGCUAUUCGAAAGAGUAAUUAAUGUCCUAUAGGAGCCAGCCUCACAUGGGGUUGGCUUUAAAGGCGCAAGCCACUUGGAGAUUGGAGUAUUUUCUAUUAGCUAGUUGGCGGGAUAUUUGCCCACACCAAGGCAGUGAUAGAUAGCUGGUCUAAGAGGAUGAACAGCCACAAUGGGAUUGAGAUACGGCCCAUAUUCCUACGGGAAGCAGCAGUAGGGAAUCUUCCACAAUGGGCGAAAGCCUGAUGGAGUGAUGCCAUGUGAAUGAUGAAGGUCUUUUUGAUUGUAAAGUUCUUUUAUUGGGGAAAAUGAUGAUGGUACCCAGUGAAUAAGUGACAGCAAACUAUGUGCCAGCAGCUGCGGUAAUACAUAGGUCGCGAGCGUUAUUCGGAUUUAUUGGGCGUAAAGCGAGCGCAGGCGGAUUGGUAAGUUCUGUGUUAAAUGCAGCCGCUCAACGGUUGUAUGCGCAGAAUACUGCUUUUCUAGAAUACGGUAGAAAGUUUUGGAAUUGAAUGUGGAGCGGUGGAAUGUGUAGAUAUAUUCAAGAACACCAGAGGCGAAGGCGAAAACUUAGGCCGAUAUUGACGCUUAGGCUCGAAAGUGUGGGGAGCAAAUGGGAUUAGAUACCCCAGUAGUCCACACCGUAAACGAUGGAUAUUAGAUGUUGGGACUUGAGUCUCAGCGUUGUAGCUUACGUGUUAAAUAUCCCGCCUGAGUAGUACAUAUGCAAAUAUGAAACUCAAAGGAAUUGACGGGGACCUGAACAAGUGGUGGAACAUGUUGCUUAAUUCGACAAUACACGAAAAACCUUACCAAGAUUUGACAUCCCCUGCAAAGCUUUAGAAAUAAAGUGGAGGUUAUCAGGGUGACAGGUGGUGCAUGGCUGUCGUCAGCUCGUGUCAUGAGAUGUCUGGUUAAGUCCUGAAACGAGCGCAACCCUACUCUUUAGUUAACUUUCUAAAGAGACUGAACAGUAAUGUAUAGGAAGGAUGGGAUCACGUCAAGUCAUCAUGCCCCUUAUAUCUUGGGCCGCAAACGUGUUACAAUGGUGGGUACAACGUGUCGCAAGCCAGCGAUGGCAAGCUAAUCACUAAAAGCUCAUCUCAGUCCGGAUAAAAGGCUGCAAUUCGCCUUUUUGAAGUUGGAAUCACUAGUAAUC